GAUGAACGCUGGCGGCGUGCCUAAUACAUGCAAGUCGAGCGAACAGACGAGGAGCUUGCGCCUCUGACGUUAGCGGCGGACGUGUGAGUAACACGUGUAUAACCUACCUAUAAGACUGGGAUAACUUCGGGAAACCGGAGCUAAUACCGGAUAAUAUAUUGAACCGCAUGGUUCAAUAGUGAAAGACGGUUUUGCUGUCACGUAUAGAUGGAUCCGCGCCGCAUUAGCUAGUUGGUAAGGUAACGGCUUACCAAGGCAACGAUGCGUAGCCGACCUCAGGGGGUGAUCGGCCACACUGGAAGUUGGACACGGUCCAGGCUCCUACGGGAGGCAGCAGUCGGGAAUCUUCCGCAAUGGGCGAGAGCAUGACGGAGCAACGCCGCGUGAGUGAUGACGGUCUUCGGAUCGUAAAAAUCUGUUACUAGGGAAGAACAAAUGUGUAAGUAACUAUGCACGUCUUGACGGUACCUAAUCAGAAAGCCACGGCUAACUACGUG
rnacentral:rRNA from 1 species